AGCAUCAGCAAUUGGGACGGUCCACUCCGUUGGCGACUUCUUCAACUAAUCUCGUGAACAGCUGCAACGUGCUAUUCAAUCGACGAUCUCGUGAACUGCCGAAGACUCCGUCUGCGAAUUUCGUCCACGAACCGUCGACUCCGUCUGCGCAUUUCGUCCACGAACCGUCGACUCCUUCUGCGGCUUCUUUGAACUUGUGGUCUGCUGCUACGGACAGAAGAAAACAGAUUGAGGCAGAGUAAUUGGAGCCUACUUUGUUAAAUUUCUCUGCACAGAUGUGAUUUUCCAGUUAAUAGAAGCACGCACUGAUAGAACACUGUUACAGAGAUAGAAAUAUUCUGAGUGCACAAAUUGGAAGGUAUGGCAGUUCCUGUGGGUCAUCAAUGUAUCCAUAUCCAAAGCCACCUGAACUUAUCUCAGCUUUUUCCCGUUUGUUGAGCAGAUG